rnacentral:rRNA from 1 species
UCGAGGAUCUUCGGCAAUGGGCGCAAGCCUGACCGAGCGACGCCGCGUGGACGAUGAAGGCCUUCGGGUUGUAAAGUCCUUUAGUGGGGGAGAAAAGCCGAAAGGUUUGAUCUAUCCCAAGAAUAAGCACGGGCUAAGUUCGUGCCAGCAGCCGCGGUAAGACGAACCGUGCGAACGUUGUUCGGAAUCACUGGGCUUAAAGGGCGCGUAGGCGGUCUGCCAAGUCCGGGGUGAAAUCCUCCAGCUUAACUGGAGAAGUGCCUUGGAUACUGGUGGACUCGAGCGAGGCAGGGGUUGUGGGAACUUCCGGUGGAGCGGUGAAAUGCGUUGAUAUCGGAAGGAACGCCGGUGGCGAAAGCGCACAACUGGUCCUCUUCUGACGCUGAGGCGCGAAAGCCAGGGGAGCAAACGGGAUUAGAUACCCCCGUAGUCC